rnacentral:rRNA from 1 species
AUUGAACGCUGGCGGCAGGCUUAACACAUGCAAGUCGAGCGGAGUGAUGGUGCUUGCACUAUCACUUAGCGGCGGACGGGUGAGUAAUGCUUAGGAAUCUGCCUAUUAGUGGGGGACAACAUCUCGAAAGGGAUGCUAAUACCGCAUACGUCCUACGGGAGAAAGCAGGGGAUCACUUGUGACCUUGCGCUAAUAGAUGAGCCUAAGUCGGAUUAGCUAGUUGGUGGGGUAAAGGCCUACCAAGGCGACGAUCUGUAGCGGGUCUGAGAGGAUUAUCCGCCACACUGGGAAGGAGACACGGCCCAGACUGCUACGGGAGGAAGCAGUGGGGAAUAUUGGACGAUGGGGUGAAACCUGUUCCAGCCAUGCCGCGUGUGUGAAGAAUGCCUUAUGGUUGUAAAGCACUUUAAGCGAGGAGGAGGCUCUUUUGGUUAAUAACCAUGAUGAGUGGACGUUACUCGCAGAAUAAGCACCGGCUAACUCUGUGCCAGCAGCCGCAGUAA